UGGAAGUAAAAGUCGUAACAAGGUCUCCGUUGGUGAACCAGCGGAGGGAUCAUUACCGAGUUUACAACUCCCAAACCCAAUGUGAACGUUACCAAACUGUUGCCUCGGCGGGAUCUCUGCCCCGGGUGCGUCGCAGCCCCGGACCAAGGCGCCCGCCGGAGGACCAACCUAAAACUCUUAUUGUAUACCCCCUCGCGGGUUUUUUUAUAAUCUGAGCCUUCUCGGCGCCUCUCGUAGGCGUUUCGAAAAUGAAUCAAAACUUUCAACAACGGAUCUCUUGGUUCUGGCAUCGAUGAAGAACGCAGCGAAAUGCGAUAAGUAAUGUGAAUUGCAGAAUUCAGUGAAUCAUCGAAUCUUUGAACGCACAUUGCGCCCGCCAGUAUUCUGGCGGGCAUGCCUGUCCGAGCGUCAUUUCAACCCUCGAACCCCUCCGGGGGGUCGGCGUUGGGGAUCGGCCCUCCCUUAGCGGGUGGCCGUCUCCGAAAUACAGUGGCGGUCUCGCCGCAGCCUCUCCUGCGCAGUAGUUUGCACACUCGCAUCGGGANNNGCGGCGCGUCCACAGCCGUUAAACACCCAACUUCUGAAAUGUGACCUCGG
rnacentral:rRNA from 1 species